UACGUAGGGUGCAAGCGUUGUCCGGAAUUAUUGGGCGUAAAGAGCUCGUAGGCGGUUUGUUGCGUCGGCUGUGAAAUCCCGAGGCUCAACCUCGGGUCUGCAGUCGAUACGAGCAAACUAGAGUGUUGCAGGGGAGACUGGAAUUCCCGGUGUAGCGGUGAAAUGCGCAGAUAUCGGGAAGAACACCCGUGGCAAAGGCGGUUCUCUGGGACGGUACUGACGCUGAGACGCGAAAGCGUGGGGAGCGAACAGG
rnacentral:rRNA from 1 species